rnacentral:lncRNA from 1 species
CAAUUUUUAAGGGUACAAUAUGAUUAUUGUUGUUUCCAAUAGAGUUCUGGUAUGUGAAAAAAAAAGAUAUGAUUUCUGCUAAAUCAGAGAUAUCCAUAGACUCAAGUCUGCAGGUUCCAUUAAUAAAAAUUGAACAGAUAUUAUUUGUUGGUAAAGCUCCUUCUAUGGUUGGCUCAUAACUAUCAGGUUCUGGAAACAUUACUUCUUGCUUCAAGAUUUCAGGAUGCCAGCAAUCAACAUCUUCAGAGAUACCAGAAACCAAAUAGUCAUUAAAAAAUAACAUGAAAAAUAGCAAAAACAUGAAAAU